CAGCAGCCGCGGUAAUACGUAGGGUGCGAGCGUUAAUCGGAAUUACUGGGCGUAAAGCGUGCGCAGGCGGUUAUGUAAGACAGGUGUGAAAUCCCCGGGCUUAACCUGGGAACUGCGCUUGUGACUGCACAGCUAGAGUAUGGCAGAGGGGGGUGGAAUUCCACGUGUAGCAGUGAAAUGCGUAGAGAUGUGGAGGAACACCGAUGGCGAAGGCAGCCCCUGGGCCAAUACUGACGCUCAUGCACGAAAGCGUGGGGAGCAAACAGGAUUAGAUACCCGUGUAGUCCCUGUCUCUUAUACA
rnacentral:rRNA from 1 species